rnacentral:rRNA from 1 species
AUGAACGCUAGCGACAGGCUUAACACAUGCAAGUCGAGGGGCAGCACAGGUAGCAAUACCGGGUGGCGACCGGCGCACGGGUGAGUAACGCGUAUGCAACUUGCCUAUCAGAGGGGGAUAACCCGGCGAAAGUCGGACUAAUACCGCAUGAAGCAGGGGCCCCGCAUGGGGAUAUUUGCUAAAGAUUCAUCGCUGAUAGAUAGGCAUGCGUUCCAUUAGGCAGUUGGCGGGGUAACGGCCCACCAAACCGACGAUGGAUAGGGGUUCUGAGAGGAAGGUCCCCCACAUUGGUACUGAGACACGGACCAAACUCCUACGGGAGGCAGCAGUGAGGAAUAUUGGUCAAUGGCCGAGAGGCUGAACCAGCCAAGUCGCGUGAGGGAUGAAGGUUCUAUGGAUCGUAAACCUCUUUUAUAAGGGAAUAAAGUGCGGGACGUGUCCCGUUUUGUAUGUACCUUAUGAAUAAGGAUCGGCUAACUCCGUGCCAGCAGCCGCGGUAAUACGGAGGAUCCGAGCGUUAUCCGGAUUUAUUGGGUUUAAAGGGUGCGUAGGCGGCCUUUUAAGUCAGCGGUGAAAGUCUGUGGCUCAACCAUAGAAUUGCCGUUGAAACUGGGGGGCUUGAGUAUGUUUGAGGCAGGCGGAAUGCGUGGUGUAGCGGUGAAAUGCAUAGAUAUCACGCAGAACCCCGAUUGCGAAGGCAGCCUGCCAAGCCAUUACUGACGCUGAUGCACGAAAGCGUGGGGAUCAAACAGGAUUAGAUACCCUGGUAGUCCACGCAGUAAACGAUGAUCACUAGCUGUUUGCGAUACACUGUAAGCGGCACAGCGAAAGCGUUAAGUGAUCCACCUGGGGAGUACGCCGGCAACGGUGAAACUCAAAGGAAUUGACGGGGGCCCGCACAAGCGGAGGAACAUGUGGUUUAAUUCGAUGAUACGCGAGGAACCUUACCCGGGUUUGAACGCAUUCGGACCGAGGUGGAAACACCUUUUCUAGCAAUAGCCGUUUGCGAGGUGCUGCAUGGUUGUCGUCAGCUCGUGCCGUGAGGUGUCGGCUUAAGUGCCAUAACGAGCGCAACCCUUGCCACUAGUUACUAACAGGUAAAGCUGAGGACUCUGGUGGGACUGCCAGCGUAAGCUGCGAGGAAGGCGGGGAUGACGUCAAAUCAGCACGGCCCUUACAUCCGGGGCGACACACGUGUUACAAUGGCGUGGACAAAGGGAAGCCACCUGGCGACAGGGAGCGAAUCCCCAAACCACGUCUCAGUUCGGAUCGGAGUCUGCAACCCGACUCCGUGAAGCUGGAUUCGCUAGUAAUCGCGCAUCAGCCAUGGCGCGGUGAAUACGUUCCCGGGCCUUGUACACACCGCCCGUCAAGCCAUGGGAGCCGGGGGUACCUGAAGUCCGUAACCGCGAGGAUCGGCCUAGGGUAAAACUGGUGACUGGGGCU